UUUGUUCUCAAGAAAAUUGUAUCUACAUUUUUAUGUGGUAUGGGGAAUUAGUAAUAUCAUUUAUUCAUGGCAGGAUUACUUAAAAAUGUAUCUGCCAAAAUGAUUAGGAACUUUCUUAAAAGUGAGUUAAUUGUGAUAUGAUUCUGAUGUUUCCUGAUUAAUGUAGUUUAAAAUUGUUGUGAAAAGUUUGUUUAGAGUUAAAUAAUGAUUAUGUUCAUUAAUCUUUUCAGUUAUUUUGUCCCAUGUAAAUGGAAGGAUUGGAUUGUGAUUUGCUUUAAGUAGAGACAAUCUCAUGAUGUUUAAUUAUUCCAUGCUUAAAUAUUCUUUGCAAU
rnacentral:lncRNA from 1 species